rnacentral:rRNA from 1 species
UCCGUAGGGGGAACCUGCGGAGGGAUCAUUACCGAGUUUACAACUCCCAAACCCCUGUGAACAUACCUAUACGUUGCCUCGGCGGAUCAGCCCGCGCCCCGUAAAACGGGACGGCCCGCCCGAGGACCCCUAAACUCUGUUUUUAGUGGAACUUCUGAGUAAAACAAACAAAUAAAUCAAAACUUUCAACAACGGAUCUCUUGGUUCUGGCAUCGAUGAAGAACGCAGCAAAAUGCGAUAAGUAAUGUGAAUUGCAGAAUUCAGUGAAUCAUCGAAUCUUUGAACGCACAUUGCGCCCGCCAGUAUUCUGGCGGGCAUGCCUGUUCGAGCGUCAUUUCAACCCUCAAGCUCAGCUUGGUGUUGGGACUCGCGGUAACCCGCGUUCCCCAAAUCGAUUGGCGGUCACGUCGAGCUUCCAUAGCGUAGUAAUCAUACACCUCGUUACUGGUAAUCGUCGCGGCCACGCCGUAAAACCCCAACUUCUGAAUGUGACCUCGGAUCAGGUAGGAAUACCCGCUGAACUUAAGCAUAUCAAUAAGCCGGAGG